CUUACGCCUGUAAAAGUCAUCUACCAUUCAGAGAUAAGGAUUGGCUUUGUCGUUGGAGCGGAGAUAGAUUGAAGAAGAUUCUCAGAGCCAGCAAAAUAACCAGGUUUGAUUAGUGUAAUAUUCAAUGGAGAAGGAUUCUUCGCCGUAUCAGGCAAUGAGAAUUGAGACGCUGGUGGAGAAAUAUAUCCUAAAAUGGAGAUUAAGAAUGGCGGAAGAAUUCAUUGAUCAUCUAAGUAUGGAUCUAAAGUAUUUUUAGCUAUUGUGAUCUACUCUCUCAUCACACGGGAUGUCAUGUUGGUUACUCUGAAAAAGAAAACGGUGUAGUUGCUAUAUGGGUGGCUGAAGGAUUCACGUUUUCUUAUCAGAAAAAAUGAAAAUAAGAUAUAAGCAAAGAAAUACAUGAUCUCAUUCACGAUGCAACUCCAUGACAUCUUACUCAUUUUAUUUAAAGAUUUGUAAAGAUUCACGGCUUGUAAAGAUAUCGUAUAAAGAAAAUCCACAACUUGUUGAAGCUAACGCAAUUCCUAUUUCGAUAGUAUUUAGUGCUAAGAGUAGCAUUCGAUAAUGUUUCCAAUACCCCUCUUAAUUCUAAUCUUUUAAGGUGACUUAUAUCUAAGAUUGUAAGUUUAUUUUAUUAUGUGUUGUAAAGAAAUUGAAGAAAAUGAAUUUGGGUGAUGUGUUGCAGACUCUUCGUUGGAUGGUGAAUUUAGAUCUGUUUCAA